AGUGGGUUCAGGACUAUCUGUAAAGUAAUAUCAUUCCUGCAUAUUCCUAUUCAUUUAUGAUUCUUGAGCAGGGACAAGGGGGAAAAUGUGCAGUUAAAGCACAAGACAUUCCAUAAUCCAGAUGAAACUAGCACCUUUAGGUAUCCUUCAGGAUGAGAACGGCCCCGGGCCAGGAAUUGAACAUUCUCUUUACAUGUGGCUACUCUAAGCUCAGGCUGGAGCCAAGGGGGAGGAUGACUAUACUGCCCCUGAAGUUGAUGUUUGUCUUUGGAAAGAAGUGGGCAACUUUUUCGAAGAAAAUCACCUUGAGUCUUGAUGGACUUUUCGGAUUGAGGAAGGGGAGCCCAGGAUGUUUCCAGCGCUGGCCUGACACUUUCCCUUAACUCAGCGUGGCCAAGGCAGCCGCUUCUCUCUGGCCUGGGACCCAGCAGAGGGGUAGCGAAGGAGCUCGGUUGCUGGAAGGUCUCGCUGUAGACUUUGAAGAAAGGAAGAGGACCUGAUUUGGGUCUCCUCCCUGAGCAGUGGCGUGUCCUGUCUCAUUGGUUCUCAACUGUGGCUGCAAGACAGAAUCAGCUUCUGGGGCCUUUAAAAAAAAAAAAAAAAAAAAAAAAAAAGCCUGGUUCCCCACCUCUGAUUCGGAUUGGAUUAUCACGGGAAGAAUCCAGACAUCUGUAGUUAAAACUGCCCAGGUGGCUAUCAGAGAAGAGCGCUCUCUUAGCAUCGCAUCUCAGAGACACUAGGCAGAAUGUCAGCUCUGGCAGCUUUUUUGCUGGGCUUACCUUGGACAAAUCAUAGCCUCUUUGAGCCUUAUCAGUUUCCUCCUCUGAAUGGGGAAGUUAAUAGAACCUACCCUGAAGAUGGUUAUGAAUCUGCCCAAGUCAAGCAUUUAUGAUGCUUGGCACAGAGUUGGUGCCCAACUAUGAGCACUGACUGGUUAUUUUUCUUAUCCUUAAGCCUUCCAGUUAUGCAUUGCCCUUGCCUUCCAGUUCUUUCUUCGUGCUCAGUCACUUCAGUGUGAGUUAGAUGAUCAGCUAGCUGUCUAACUAACAGCUUGUGAGAGGAGAUGUACAAAAG
rnacentral:lncRNA from 1 species